UUGCGCCUGCGGCGGGCAAGGCACGGGAUAUCAUAUGCUUCGCAGGCAGCUUUCCCGUGUACGGUCCUGUACAUCCAAUAAUUUAUUGGAUUUAACUUCUUU
rnacentral:sRNA from 1 species